UCCUGGUUACCCAGGCAGUAUUCUUAGAGUCCUCAACUAAAUGUUAGCAACUAAGAAAAAGGGUUACGCUCGUUACAGGACUUAACCUAACAUCUCACGACACGAGCUGACGACGACCAUGCACCACCUGUCACUUGGUUAACCUCCACUAUAUCUCUAUAGCUUUGCCAAGGAUGUCAAGAGUGGGUAAGGUUCUUCGCGUAGCUUCGAAUUAAACCACAUGAUCCACCGCUUGUGCGGGUCCCCGUCAAUUCCUUUAAGUUUCACUCUUGCGAGCAUACUACUCAGGCGGCUUGUUUAAUGUGUUAACUGCGUUAGUGACUUUUGCCACCAACUAACAAGCAUCGUUUACAGCGUGGACUAC
rnacentral:misc_RNA from 1 species